rnacentral:rRNA from 1 species
CUGCUCAAUGCGUAUUAUGUAAAUGGCCGCGGUAUUCUGACCGUGCUAAGGUAGCAUAAUCAUUUGUCUCUUGAUUAGAGGCUGGUAUGAAUGGCAAGACGAGAAGGUGACUGUCUCUUUUAUGACACUUGAAUUUCACUUCUGGGUGAAAAGGCCCAGAUAAAUUUAAAGGACGAUCAGACCCUAUAGAGCUUAAAUUUCUUGAGUUAUUGUUUUAGUUGAAGUAAUAAGGGGUAAAUUCAAGAGAUUUUGGUUGGGGCGACAAAGAGAAUAAAAUAACACUCUUUUUAAUUACCACUAAUAAGUGAAUAGUUGAUCCUCAACGAGGGAUUAAAAGACUAAGUUACCUUAGGGAUAACAGCGUAAUAUUCUUGGAGAGUUCUAAUCGAUAAGAAAGUUUGCGACCUCGAUGUUGGAUUAAGAAAUUGAUGAGGUGCAGAAGCUUCAUAAAAAAGUCUGUUCGACUUUUAAUAUCUUACGUGAUCUGAGUUCA